rnacentral:rRNA from 1 species
AGUGAACGCUGGCGGUAGGCCUAACACAUGCAAGUCGAACGGCAGCACAGGAGAGCUUGCUCUCUGGGUGGCGAGUGGCGGACGGGUGAGGAAUACAUCGGAAUCUACUCUGUCGUGGGGGAUAACGUAGGGAAACUUACGCUAAUACCGCAUACGACCUACGGGUGAAAGCAGGGGACCUUCGGGCCUUGCGCGAUUGAAUGAGCCGAUGUCGGAUUAGCUAGUUGGCGGGGUAAAGGCCCACCAAGGCGACGAUCCGUAGCUGGUCUGAGAGGAGGAUCAGCCCACAUGGAACUGAGAAACGGUCCAGACUCCUACGGGGGGCAGCAGUGGGGAAUAUUGGACAAUGGGCGCAAGCAUGAUCCAGCCAUACCGCGUGGGUGAAGAAGGCCUUCGGGUUGUAAAGCCCUUUUGUUGGGAAAGGAAUCCAGCUGGCUAAUACCCGGUUGGGAUGACGGUACCCAAAGAAUAAGCACCGGCUAACUUCGUGCCAGCCGCCGCCGUAA